rnacentral:rRNA from 1 species
UACGACGGGGGCUAGCGUUGCUCGGAAUUACUGGGCGUAAAGCGCACGUAGGCGGCUUCUUAAGUCGGUGGUGAAAUCCUGGAGCUCAACUCCAGAACUGCCUUCGAUACUGGGAGCUCGAGUCCGGGAGAGGUGAGUGGAACUGCGAGUGUAGAGGUGAAAUUCGUAGAUAUUCGCAAGAACACCAGUGGCGAAGGCGGCUCACUGGCCCGGUACUGACGCUGAGGUGCGAAAGCGUGGGGAGCAAACAGGG